GGCUUGUUUGAAUGGCUUGACGAGAUAAGGAUGAAUAUUUGUUGUUUAUUUGAAAUUAUUAUUGAGGGCACAGAAGCCUCAGUGAUUAAUUAGACGGAAAGACCCCGGGAUCUUUUGAUUUUGUCUGGGGCAGAUUUUAGUAUUUUACUAAUAUUGUGACCCCUAAUUGGUUUAGUGGGCUAAGUUACCCCGGGGAUAACAGUGUAAUGAUUAAUGAGAGAUCGUAUCGAAUUAGUUGUUUGCCACCUCGAUGUUGACUUAGGUAAAACUACUGGCGCAGUUGUUUGUAGUUUGGGUCUGUUCGACCCUUAAUACCUCCAUGAGUUGAGUUAAGACCGGCGUGAGCCAGGUCGGUUCUUAUCUAUUGAGGAGAUUUACUAGUACGAAAGGACCGUAAAUCUUUUUAUU
rnacentral:rRNA from 1 species